rnacentral:rRNA from 1 species
CGGGGUGAGUAACAUGUGGAUAACCUACCUAUAAGACUGGGAUAACUUCGGGAAACCGGAGCUAAUACCGGAUAAUAUAUUGAACCGCAUGGUUCAAUGGUGAAAGACGGUUUUGCUGUCACUUAUAGAUGGAUCCGCGCCGCAUUAGCUAGUUGGUAAGGUAACGGCUUACCAAGGCAACGAUGCGUAGCCGACCUGAGAGGGUGAUCGGCCACACUGGAACUGAGACACGGUCCAGACUCCUACGGGAGGCAGCAGCG